GACGAACGCUGGCGGCGUGCUUAACACAUGCAAGUCGAACGGGAACCUUUAUUUCGGUAAAGGUGAGAGUGGCAAACGGGUGAGUAACACGUAGGCAACCUGCCGACAGGAUGGGGACAACAUUCCGAAAGGAAUGCUAAUACCGAAUGGAGUCCGGAGAUGGCAUCAUCUCCGGAUAAAAGAUGGCCUCUGAAUAUGCUAUCGUCUGUCGAUGGGCCUGCGUCUGAUUAGCCAGUUGGCGGGGUAACGGCCCACCAAAGCGACGAUCAGUAGCCGGUCUGAGAGGAUGAACGGCCACAUUGGGACUGAGACACGGCCCAGACUCCUACGGGAGGCAGCAGUGGGGAAUCUUCCACAAUGGGCGAAAGCCUGAUGGAGCAACGCCGCGUGAGUGAAGAAGGUCUUCGGAUCGUAAAGCUCUGUUGCACGGGACGAAAACUGGGUUUGAGAAUAUUGAACCUGGGGACG
rnacentral:rRNA from 1 species